rnacentral:lncRNA from 1 species
CGGCUAAUGUUUUAAAUUUAAUUUUUGAAGUUUUUAAAAAAUUUCUGGACACUUUGUUUAAAAACUGGGUGAGAGUGUAUUUGUGCCUAUACAGUAUCAUCCACAUACAACCCCUUUGAUCAGUAAUUUAUUUCAAGUAUGAGGACCGGUGAAGAUUAGUUUAAUAACUUCUUCCUCUUAACAUUCAUAAUUUCAGGGGAAGGGUGGAUGGAAACACAGGGUUUCUGUACCUUUUAAGGGUUGUACAGUAUAAGAAGCAAUGAUUAUCAAGGGAUGGCUUUUCUCAAGCAAGGGCUGGUCAGCAUCCGAUUCAGGCUGCUGGUUUGGGUGUCAUGACGGAGACUAAAUCAGUUGUUUCGUAUAUUAUGAGGAUAUCUUUAAGUACAAGGUGGGGAUUCUUCAGGAGUUGGGGGGAGCACAUGGCCGACUCCCCAACUGAUGGGGUUUGUGCCUGUAAUUUGCAGAAGGGAAGCCAGAUAAAGCCAGCUGCAACAAGCACUUCUGCUUUAAAACUGGCCAUGUGGCUUGUUCUAAAACCAGCCAGUGCUUCCAGGAGGUUUCUCUCUACAACUAAGGUAAAGUUUGCCAGAAAUUUGGCAGAUGUUAGCAACAUGGAGAGACACGGCCUCUAAGAGCAAUGAUUUUGUUUAGUCAACCAGACAAGAACAUUCAGCAUUGGGUACAGGUUAAAAAAUGACUUGAUUCCUAAUAGCAGCUGUUGGUAUUUAUUAAAGUGGAAGCUUAUCUAUGUGGCUUGUUAUCCCACAGCCAAAUGGGUGCAGAAGAGAUCACAUGGUUUCUCCCAUUUAAUCUGGGGACCAUUCAGGGGCUUGUAAAAGGCUUCUGUUGCUUCUUUAUUCAGGUUUUCUGAAAGGAUCUUACAAUAGAAAAUGGAACCCUUGGCUGGUCCAGGCACUCCAGGAGCAGAGCCAUUCACAGAUGCACAAGUCUUCGUAGCCAACUACGCUUCUGAGCUUGGCUUGUCGCCAGCUGGCGGGUGCAGUCCAGCCUACUUCACGGACUCUGGAGAGCUACUGGGGGGUCUUGGUGGACUAGGUGAUGUUGUCUGUUGGAGUGACAAUGUGGAUCACUGCAUCUCUUACCUGAACAAGGAAUUGGUGAUGCUGGGGCUCCCUGCCUUAUAUAAGGACGAUGGUUCUGGAGAUGGUGCUGAGCAUGGAUUUGACCUACUGGCAUUGGUGAAUGGCACUAGUGAGCUGCUAAAUCUGUAUCAAGCAGCAAUGGCCAAGCUGGGCGACAUGGAGGCAGAGGAUGUGCGGCGGGCAGGAGAACUGGAUUACCUGAGAAUGCGACAUGGCAAACUCAAGGUGAGAGCUUCCCAAUUCUAUAUUGCUUGUACCACAUUGCAUCUUGUGCAGUUGUUAUAGUUUCACGAGAACUAACCCAAGACAUUCUGAUAUUUGAUUCUUAAAAAAAACAAACCCCUAAAACAAAACGCAGAUGGUAUCAUUAAAAGCACAGGCAACAAUCCAUUUGGAAAUACUUUCUCCAAACUCUCUUGAAAUGGAGUGGAGCACAUUGUGUGCCAUUGCUCACUGGGCAGGUUUAUCUGCUUUUGACCAUCUUACUUUUGGAGAGUAUCCAGCCCACCUUAGAACCUCUCUUCAUAGUAAGGCAGUCUGUGUUCAGCCUUCCAGAGACCUGGCCAUUGGGAACAACCAGCCAGGAAUUCUUCCUUAUAAACACAGCCCUGGCCAAUAGUCCUUUCCAUUUAUACCCCUUAGACUUCAAGGCAGCUACUGAACACACGCUGCACAUCAUAAACAGACA